rnacentral:rRNA from 1 species
GGAUGAAGCCCUUGGGUGUAAACGUCCUUUCGACCGGGAAGAUACCUGACGGUACCGGUGGAAGAAGCACCGGCCUAACUCUGUGC